rnacentral:lncRNA from 1 species
CAUGUCCAAACUUAUAUGAAGACCAAACUAAAUCCAGUCUGGUGCAUAUGAGAGAGAGAGAGAGAGGAGCAUAUGUUAUGCAGUAAGUGAACAGUCACAUACAAAGGUUUUUGUGUAUGUUUGAGUUACAGUUAUUUCUUUCUUUUUAUUUUUUGGACAAAAUUUAUUUACUAUCAUUUCUACAAUAGAUAAUAAGAUAUGUUAGAAUUUAUAAAGCGUUUUAAACACAAAACAUUGGAGAGGCGGAUUGUGCAUGAGUUUAUGCUCUUCCAGUGUAUAUAUUCAGAGUCAAUUAAUUAAUACGUGAAGAAAAGGGGUGGAAUUCACUUUCCAGACACCUACCUGUAAGACGUCCUGAGAGUUCCACCACCUUACAUACAAUUAUUAGCAAAAUGUGCCUUAUGCUGGGUGCCCGUGCAUGUGUCAUGGGUAAGUUUUAAUUAAUGGAUACCCCUACCUUGCCCUUGAUAUCUCUUUGUUCUUUUCAUUCUAAGGGCAUUUCCAUGUGAUCUCCUAGUUGUUUCAUCCACAAAUAAGCUCUUUCAGAAGGCUCAAGAAAGAUUUUCCUUCACCUUGUGUGACUACAUUUUUUUUUGAAAAAAAAAAAAGAACAAGAAAUGAAAAGAUUGAGAGGAUAAAAUAGUACAUCCAGAAAAUAAGUAAAAGAAAUAGCUGAUAUACUCAAAACUCGUCGAUGGCCAUUUGCACACAUACAAGAGGAUGAAAUAUUGCAAUCUUGAACACAAAAUAAUAUGCACUCACAACUUGUAACCAUACAACCGUAUACAUGCAAUGGAUAGGAAUACUUAUAAUUUGUUGCAGCAAUAUUGUAUUGAUCUCUUGGACACACUUAGUUCUCUUUUUUCCAUAACUUAGAUCGAUCUUAGAUAUAAGUUAUAAUCUGUCACUCUGAUUAAUUAAAAUUGUGUAAAACUUUUAGUAAUAUUGUUUUAAGGUAUCCACUGCUACAGAAAGACAAAUAUCCAAAAGGAUCUCUAGACCAUUCAUCCAAUAUAACCCGUAUUAUCAUUUGCAGAUGUACUGGAAGUUCCACAGAUAGAUAAGGAAAGCUCAGAAACAAAUAAACUUAUCCUUUUGAUGCAAAAGAUGGAACAAUCCAUCAUCCAUUCAUUAAGAAAUUAAAGUUGAUAACAGAUAAACUUAAUAGUCCGAGGCUCAACCAUCCAGAAAUGGAUGCUUAGAAGUGUGAUCAAUGAUGAUAUAUCUGCGAUGUUAUCAUUGCAAUAAUGUAGUAUAUAUAUUUGAUCUACAAAGCAAGAAGGGCAUGGAAUCAUUCUUAGCAGGGAAAUCAAAUGCUUUGCAAGUUCUCAAAAAGCUUAGGUGGGUUCUUUCUCCCCUUUUAUCAAAAAGAAAUGCAAAAUGGGGAGAUCAAGAGAAACCUCUCUCUCCUUUUAUGAUGUUCCUUAGAUUGAUGGGGUUCAUAUGCCAAAGCCACAGAGUCCAAUAAUCCAUCUGCACAAUUAAUGAAUUCAAUCAUUGUGAAAAAUCAACCUUAAGAAGUUCACUAAAAAUUUCCUCAGAGCCGAAUGCCAAUAUCUAACAAAUUAGGCAUAACAAGUCUUUGGCCCUUCUUGUUUGCUCACCUAUAUUUCAGUAAAAAUUCGUUUGAUGCAACAUUUCCAAAAAAAAAAAAAAAUCAAGGCCAUAAAAAGAUGAAACCAAACUGUAGUGAUGCUGGAGUUAUAUUACCUGCAAUGGAUACUCACUGGAAUGUGCCCUUGCUUCAUGUGGCAUCACUCCUCCUUGAUGUUACUCUCCCCGAUUCCCCAAAAGCUAACAUCCAAAGGGCCACAAAUGAAGAGGAAGCUACUAAUAUAAAGAAUCAAAACUUUGGCACCAAAUAAUCACAACUUAUUCAUGGAAAGAUCCAGCAUAAAAUCAUAGGCAUGGGUUAUAUGAAAUCAUUAUGAAUUCCAGAGACAACGCAUUUGAAUCUCUACCAAAUAAUAGAAAAAAUAUAUAAUAUAUACCAGCUCGAGAGAAUAGUGAGAACCUGGAACUUAUCUUGCCGGAUUAACAAUUAAUCCACCUUGCAAACAGCAUAGCAUCUUAGGCGUCAAAUACGCAUUCCAAAUACUUAACCCAUCAGGUUAUUCUCUUUAUACUCAGCUAAGGAAUAAG